rnacentral:rRNA from 1 species
UGGCGAACGGGUGAGUAAUAUAUCGGAACAUAUCCGGAAGUGGGGGAUAACGUAGCGAAAGUUACGCUAAUACCGCAUAUGCCCUGAGGGGGAAAGGGGGGGAUCGCAAGACCUCUGUGCUUCGGAGUGGCCGAUAUCGGAUUAGCUAGUUGGUGAGGUAAAGGCUCACCAAGGCGACGAUCCGUAGCUGGUCUGAGAGGACCGACCAGCCACAUGGGACUGAGACACGGCCCAGACUCCUACGGGAGCAGCAGUGGGGAAUUUUGGACAAUGGGCGCAAGCCUGAUUCCAGCCAUGCCGCGUGAGUGAAGAAGGCCUUCGGGUUGUAAAGCUCUUUCAGCCGGAAAGAAAUCGCACUGGUUAAUACCUUGUGUGGAUGACGGUACCGGAAGAAGAAGCACCGGCUAACUACGUGCCAGNNNCCGCGGUAAUACGUAGGGUGCGAGCGUUAAUCGGAAUUACUGGGCGUAAAGCGUGCGCAGGCGGUUUGUAAGACAGACGUGAAAUCCCCGGGCUUAACCUGGGAACUGCGUUUGUGACUGCAAGACUAGAGUGUAGCAGAGGGGGGUAGAAUUCCACGUGUAGCAGUGAAAUGCGUAGAUAUGUGGAGGAAUACCAAUGGCGAAGGCAGCCCCUGGGUUAACACUGACGCUCAUGCACGAAAGGUGGGGAGCAAACAGGAAUAGAUACCCUGGUAAGUCCACGCCCUAAACGAUGUCAACUAGGUGUUGGGGAAGGAGACUUCUUUAGUACCGCAACUAACGCGUGAAGUUGACCGCCUGGGGAGUACGGUCGCAAGAUUAAACUCAAAGGAAUUGACGGGACCCGCACAAGCGGUGGAUUAUGUGGAUUAAUUCGAUGCAACGCGAAAAACCUUACCNACCCUUGACAUGUCAGGAAGAUUCCAGAGAUGGGAUUGUGCCCGAAAGGGAACCUGAACACAGGUGCUGCAUGGCUGUCGUCAGCUCGUGUCGUGAGAUGUUGGGUUAAGUCCCGCAACGAGCGCAACCCUUGUCAUUAAUUGCCAUCAUUCAGUUGGGCACUUUAAUGAGACUGCCGGUGAUAAACCGGAGGAAGGUGGGGAUGACGUCAAGUCCUCAUGGCCCUUAUUGGGUAGGGCUUCACACGUAAUACNNUGGUCGGUACAGAGGGUUGCCAACCCGCGAGGGAGCCAAUCCCAGAAAGCCGAUCGUAGUCCGGAUUGUAGUCUGCAACUCGACUACAUGAAGUCGGAAUCGCUAGUAAUC